UCAGUAGUCAAUUCUUUUGGUGUCCCACUUUUUUUUUUUUCUCGAGUUAACCAAAAAGGGGUAAUUACAUAAGUUUCAAACUUGUUUUUGAUUAAUAAUCAGUUUUAUCUUUUCUCCCACCUUCAGAAGAAUAAAGCGUAGCUGUUCUACUAUCGUUAGAAUUUUCUGAAAGGUAACUAUCUCGGUUUUAUAUAUAAAUAUAUAUAGAAUCUUUGAAAAAGACCUUCCCUCAUAAGAAAGACUUACUAUCUUUGGGAUCUGAUGCUACACCGCUGCUCAAUACUUUAGGGGACCGACUCUGUUACAUAAGUUGAUUCCUAACUUUUGUCUCAUAUUAUGACAUAAGUAAGCAGUUCUUAUUGUAUCGGCCAAAAAUCUCGCUAAUUGAU
rnacentral:misc_RNA from 1 species